UACGUAGGGUGCGAGCGUUGUCCGGAAUUAUUGGGCGUAAAGAGCUCGUAGGCGGUGUGUCGCGUCGGUCGUGAAAACUUGGGGCUUAACUCUGAGCUUGCGGUCGAUACGGGCAUCACUGGAGUUCGGCAGGGGAGACUGGAAUUCCUGGUGUAGCGGUGAAAUGCGCAGAUAUCAGGAGGAACACCGGUGGCGAAGGCGGGUCUCUGGGCCGAUACUGACGCUGGAGGAGCG
rnacentral:rRNA from 1 species